AGAAUGAACGUUGGCGGCGUGGAUUAGGCAUGCAAGUCGAACGAAUGCCAUUUGGGUAACUGGAUGGCGGAAGUGGCGAAAGGGGCAGUAAGGCAUAGGUAACCUACCCUGGAGUCGGGCAUAGCCAUUCUAACGAAUGGGUAAUUCCCGAUGGCUCAGCGAGGAGACAUCUCUUUGCUGGUAAAGAAUUUCGCUCCGGGAGGGGCCUAUGUGCUAUUAGCUAGUUGGUGGGGUAACGGCCCACCAAGGCUAAGAUGGCUAGCGGGUGUGAGAGCACGACCCGCGCCACUGGCACUGAGACACUGGCCAGACACCUACGGGUGGCUGCAGUCGAGGAUCUUCGUCAAUGGGCAAAGCCUGAACGAGCGACGCCGCGUGCGCGAUGAAGGCCUUCGGGUUGUAAAGCGCGAAAGUGGGGACGAAGCCGAAGGUUUGACCGAUCCACAGUAAGCUCGGGCUAAGUUCGUGCCAGCAGCCGCGGU
rnacentral:rRNA from 1 species